CAGUUGGUAUAAAGUUGUUACUGCACGAAGAUAUCACGAUCAAAAGCAUUGUCUUUUUUUUGCAGGAAAAUAAUUCGAUCAUAGUUUUCGUAAUUAGUUUAUGUAAUUUAAGCAAAAUAGAAUAUCAAUUAAAUAUUAAAAAAGAUAUAAAAAAGUUUAAUCGAUUCGUUUAAAAUAAAUAUAACUAUAAGUAUAGUUUAACGAUAACAAAACGUUUAACCUCGCAUUAUGUAUCAAUUAUAAUGUAAUCAUAACCUAUAAUUGAAAACAUGAGUUUUUUGCACGAAAACGAUUAUAUAUACAAAAUAUCAUCAGUAAUUUUUCAUAAAUAAGAUUGUAUUGCCUAUUCACACAAUUCAAGAUAAGUACAAUUUAUACCGUAUACAUUAUAUGUUUAUAUAUAUAUAUAUAUCUUUCGUAUAUUCUAUAUACAUAGAAUAUAUAGCACACAUUUAUGUGUUUCAUAUAUAAAUAUCUAAUAAGAUUAACAGUGUCAAUAUAGUAUAUAAACAUUUUAUCAAACAUGCUUUUAAUUAAAACAACGAAAAAGAAAACUAUUGAUCGGAACUCGUAUAUGGAAGUCGAAAUAUCAUGUUUUGCAAAAAGUAUUCAAUGCUUUAUCUCGAAAUAUCUUGAAGAGGACGCAUUUACUUGAAGUUUUCAUUCAAUUGUUACAUCUACAGAAAAAGGGUACCUCAAACGUGAAUGAUUCGUUGUAAUACGGAUUAAGAGUGCAUUUUUUAAUAGACGUUUUCUUCUUCUUCAACCUUUUGCCAUUUUGCAUCAGAGCAAUUUUUACAUAAGGAUCUGAUAAACCACCGACGUCCAUUUUCUUCAGAUUUUUCGCUUCCAA